rfam:Stegodyphus mimosarum contig118018, whole genome shotgun sequence.
GCCUUCGUGUUGUAGUGGUCAGCACGCUCGACGCGUAACCGAGAGGUCCGUGGUUCGAUUCCCGGCGAAGGUG